rnacentral:rRNA from 1 species
GUGGCAGCCGCCGCGGUAAAACCAGCACCUCAAGUGGUCAGGAUGAUUAUUGGGCCUAAAGCAUCCGUAGCCGGCUCUGUAAGUUUUCGGUUAAAUCUGUACGCUCAACGUACAGGCUGCUGGGAAUACUGCAGAGCUAGGGAGUGGGAGAGGUAGACGGUACUCGGGAGGAAGUGGUAAAAUGCUUUGAUCUCUCGAUGACCACCUGUGGCGAAGGCGGUCUACCAGAACACGUCCGACGGUGAGGGAUGAAAGCUGGGGGAGCAAACCGGAUUAGAUACCCGGGUAGUCCCAGCUGUAAACUAUGCAAACUCAGUGAUGCAUUGACUUGUGGUCAAUGCAGUGUUGCAGGGAAGCCGUUAAGUUUGCCGCCUGGGAAGUACGUACGCAAGUAUGAAACUUAAAGGAAUUGGCGGGGGAGCACCACAAGGGGUGAAGCCUGCGGUUCAAUUGGAGUCAACGCCAGAAAUCUUACCCGGAGAGACAGCAGAAUGAAGGUCAAGCUGAAGACUUUACCAGACAAGCUGAGAGGUGGUGCAUGGCCGUCGUCAGCUCGUGCCGUGAGAUGUCCUGUUAAGUCAGGUAACGAGCGAGAUCCCUGCCUCUAGUUGCCACCAUUACUCUCAGGAGUAGUGGGGCGAAUUAGCGGGACCGCCGCAGUUAAUGCGGAGGAAGGAAGGGGCCACGGCAGGUCAGUAUGCCCCGAAACUCUGGGGCCACACGCGGGCUGCAAUGGUAAUGACAAUAUGUUCCAAAUCCGAAAGGAAGAGGUAAUCCCUAAACAUUACCACAGUUAUGACUGAGGGCUGCAACUCGCCCUCACGAAUAUGGAAUCCCUAGUAACUGCGUGUCAUUAUCGCGCGGUGAAUACGUCCCUGCUCCUUGCACACACCGCCCGUC